rnacentral:pre_miRNA from 2 species
UGUGUGGCACUGAGUGUAUUUGACAAGCUGAGUCCGACACUCAGUGAGACAGAGUGUCAGUUUGUCAAAUACCCCAAGUGAGGCAC